rnacentral:lncRNA from 1 species
UCAUGGUAGGAGGAGGAGGUAUCACGACUGCGGUUUUCACGAUAUUUCAAAUAUUGGGAAGUUUUCCAUAUUUGUCCGACACUCACUAGAGGGUCAUGUUACUUUUGACAUCAAUUGUGCGUACUGAACAUUUUAAGGCACGACAACAUCCAUAUUUGCUCUCUAGUUAGAGUACACAAAGCGGGUAGCUAAAUCAUUUUGUGUUUAUGUCACGUUUCAGUUUCAUAAGGGAAGUACUUUCAAUUGUGCUUAUGUUAACUUUAUGCCAUUUCUCCAACAUUUCAUGACAUUGUUGUAUUGCAUUGGAGAACCGAAUGUUGCUCUUGUCACCAGUGUGCAUCGUUUAAUGUGCAUACUCUUGAUGUGGUAUAUGGUGCUUUUUGGGUCAACAAAAUCAACUCCUACAUACUAAAGGUCUGGAAUAUACUGUGCUGAUAGAUACACUAGUAGAGAAUCGAUCUUCCAUCCAGCAUAAUAUGUCUCGGUCAUUUUUGAACCUGGGACUAAAGGAGCUUUAGUCCCGGGUCAAACGGCCACCACAGACGGC